UGGGGAAUAUUGCACAAUGGGCGAAAGCCUGAUGCAGCGACGCCGCGUGAGUGAAGAAGUAUUUCGGUAUGUAAAGCUCUAUCAGCAGGGAAGAAAAUGACGGUACCUGACGAAGAAGCCCCGGCUAACUACGUGCCAGCAGCCGCGGUAAUACGUAGGGGGCAAGCGUUAUCCGGAUUUACUGGGUGUAAAGGGAGCGUAGACGGCGAAGCAAGUCUGAAGUGAAAACCCAGGGCUCAACCCUGGGACUGCUUUGGAAACUGUUUUGCUAGAGUGUCGGAGAGGUAAGUGGAAUUCCUAGUGUAGCGGUGAAAUGCGUAGAUAUUAGGAGGAACACCAGUGGCGAAGGCGGCUUACUGGACGAUAACUGACGUUGAGGCUCGAAAGCGUGGGGAGCAAACAGG
rnacentral:rRNA from 1 species